rnacentral:tRNA from 3 species
GGCCCCGUAGCUCAGCUGGAUAGAGCAGCCGCCUCCUAAGCGGCAGGUCAGUGGUUCGAAUCCACUCGGGGUCACCA